AAAACGAAUAUCUCCAUUACAUUGUUUAAAAUAAUAUUGUACACAUGUUAUUUUCAGAAAAGUUUUCGUCCACAGGAACCCGCACAAAUCCACCCCUGAGCGUUGUUUUAAACAUGCCAAACCCAUAGGGGGCAGUGUAGCGCAAAGCUAAAACCUAUGUCAACCAAUCAGAAUCCUUCAAAACAACUGAGACUUCCUGUUAGGAAUUUAACCUGGCGCCAGGAGGUUUAUUUGUGUGGACAGAUUGAUAGAGGUAGCUACUUUUAAGUAGCGUAUUAGAAUGUAUAGAUAUUCAAACACAAGACGAUAUUGAUUGGGAAUCGUGUCAAAGCAGAUUGACCUUGAGAAUUUAUGCUGCCGAUCAGAUAGGAAGAAAAGCUUUCCCGCAGCAUCAUACUGCUACCACCAUGUCCCAUGUUGCUGUGUGUUCUCUAAUUGGGGCUGUGACUGCUCACUAAUCAGCGGAGGUACAGGUAGGCCCCCGGAGGACGCCGAGACGAGGCCUCUCCUGUUAAUUGUGGAAGACGCAGAACUUGGCCUCCUCCUCCUCCUCUUCUCUCCUUUGCAGUCCGGCUCUCGGAUGCGGGCUGGACUCGUCCAAACAUCUGCGCGCAUCGUCACCUCUGUCACCUCUCGGAGCAGCUGGCGUGUAGGAGCUUGCAUUUGUGUUCUAACACCUGAACAAACAGGGGUGUUGCAGAGGGAACCUGUUGUGCGCAGUCAGAGUGAUUCCCAGUGCUUCCAUUUAAUUAUAGUCUUAAGGCUGCAGUUUAAUUAUAAUUUUAGUCCCAAAAGUUGCUUGAAGCCUGGUUUGUUCUAUAGUAGAAAGAACCAGUAUCUUAUGGCAAAAAAAAAAAAAGUAUUCUAAUUUGAGGUGUUUCUGAAGGCGAAUGUUUGCAGGAUGUUCUAAAAAAAAAAAGGACAAAAUAAGCAAAAGCACUUUCCUCAUAUUUUCCAUAAUGAACCAACUCCAGCUUCAAAGACAUCCCAGCCAUUUAUUGCUGCUGUAUGAGUCUAUAAAAUGUCGUCACACUGAUUAUUAUUUACAUGGAAAGUAAAGGUGGAAGGUAGUGCACCACCAAUGAUCUUCCUAUGUGGAACGUACUAAUACAGCAUGUAAAGUGUUUUGAUGUUGGCAUAGAAUAGAAAAAUAAAUCAAUUCAAAAAUCUGUAACAUCUAUCAUCCAUCUGAUUUCAACAUAUUAAAAUACCUCAGCAACAGCUAUUUCAUUGACAUUUUUGUUUCAGCUUAGUGUAGUUAUAUCGUGCUAACCAUUUACUUUGGUGUUAUCUUGGUCUAUUAGUUAUAUAGAAGCCAGUGAUUGUUUGCACAGUAAAAUGAGGUUGGAGGAUUCAUCAUUGAUCAUCCCCAGUGAAACAAUUGCAUAACACGUGAAGCAUUUUCAGUCACAGUACGUAAUUCUUUCAUAUAAAAGUACACAAAAAGCUAUGGAGGGUUAUAAUGAUUAAAAUAAAGCCUUAUAUUUUAAUUGGGAAAAUAAUUCAAUUGUUCUGAAUUGAAACACUUUACAUGGUCUGUCUCAAAACGUGUUUUCUCGUAGCGAUAUCAGCAGUGGCGCAAUUCCUCCUACCGUUGAAUAAACGCCAUCGUGCUAACAGCUGAUUCAAAGGGGACGCAAAAACAAAUAUCCUAAAACAAUUUCCAUUAAAAAAAAGUGGCUUGCAUUAGUUAUUUACAUAGAAGACAUUUGAUUUUCAUACCAGAAAUUUUAACCUGGGCCUUUCUCUGACUAGCCGUUAGCUUCAACAUCCAGGACCAACUCAUCUGGAUUUACACCAUCACUUUACAGCUCAAUGAAGACAUCAAGAGUGUUUUCUACCGCAGGUAAGGUAUUAACUACUGGAAAGCUUUUAUGGGUUAUACACUGUGGAAAUUCUGGACGGUCCAUUUCAACCGUGUUUUGACUUUUUCCAAACCAAAAUGGCUCUGUCCUAGUGUGCUGCAGCAUUUUGUUUUCUCCUGUUCUGUCUCUUUGAAAGUGGCAGCUUUUGCAUGCUGGGGUCACACCUGUAACGCGUUUCACACUGAGUUGUAUUUUUGAGCAGCCACCUGGAUGAGGAAAUAACGGGAUCAUAGAGCAUGAAGACGACAGGGCCUUCCUGCCAAGAAAGAGCAGGUGUUUGUUUUUCGGCGGAACACAUUAACACGAAACAGACUGUUCUGACAUUCGAAGACUAAUGUCACUACAUAGCUUUAAAAAAGUCCAAUCAGAUGAGACGUUUGAAAGCUUUGGUUUGAGUGAAAUGGACCGUUGUUUCGUGAUCAACGGCGUGCGAAUAACCUUGAUAAGUAAUUUUGUGCGCCUUUGUUUUGUUUUUGUUUUUUUCUC